rnacentral:rRNA from 1 species
GCACUCCUACGGGAGGCAGCAGUGGGGAAUAUUGCACAAUGGGCGCAAGCCUGAUGCAGCCAUGCCGCGUGUAUGAAGAAGGCCUUCGGGUUGUAAAGUACUUUCAGCAGUGAGGAAGGUGGGUAUGUUAAUAGCAUAUUCAUUUGACGUUAGCUGCAGAAGAAGCACCGGCUAACUCCGUGCCAGCAGCCGCGGUAAUACGGAGGGUGCGAGCGUUAAUCGGAAUUACUGGGCGUAAAGCGCAUGCAGGUGGUUUGUUAAGUCAGAUGUGAAAGCCCCGGGGCUCAACCUCGGAAUUGCAUUUGAAACUGGCAAACUAGAGUACUGUAGAGGGGGUAGAAUUUCAGGUGUAGCGGUGAAAUGCGUAGAGAUCUGAAGGAAUACCGGUGGCGAAGGCGGCCCCCUGGACAGAUACUGACACUCAGAUGCGAAAGCGUGGGGAGCAAACAGGAUUAGAUACCCUGGUAG